rnacentral:lncRNA from 1 species
ACUCAGCCCCUGGCCGGGCCCCGCGCCCUCGGCCGCCGCGCAGGGGCUGGACGCGCGCCGCGGCUCCCUAGCCGGCCGGCCGACGCUCGGGGCGUACUCACAAUGAGCGGGAUGGUGCGGUCCUCGCGGAGCUGCUCCGACCUCCUGCCGGCCCUCUGCGCGCCCCGGCCGCCGGAGGAUGCUGCGUGGGCUCGGUUGUCCUGCCAUAAGUAGUAGAAAGUGCCCAGGAUCCAGGCUACGGUCAGGAUGGCGAUGGCAUUGGCGCGGAUCUUCCUCAUGGAAUGGACUCCAGCAGCAUCACAGAAUCAAAGCAACACCUAAGGAAUUCACUGUUUCUUCACAUACUUUGAACUGUGAAAACAAGAGUCAUCAUAAUAGCUGCAGUUUACUCAGUACCUACCAGGUGCCAGCCACUGUGCCACCACUUCACCUAUACUGUCUCUAAAGCCCCUACAACCCUGAGCUAAGGAUGAUCAUAUCCCCAACUGCAGAUGAUGACACUGAGGCUCAAAGGCUACUCAACUUGCCUGGAAUCCUACAGCAAAAUACUGCAUUGUGUCACAAGAAUUCAACUAUGUACUCAUGGAAAAGGAGGG